rnacentral:rRNA from 1 species
CAAGACUCCUACGGGAGGCAGCAGUGGGGAAUAUUGCACAAUGGCGGAAACCCUGAUGCAGCGACGCCGCGUGAGUGAAGAAGUAUUUCGGUAUGUAAAGCUCUAUCAGCAGGGAAGAAAAUGACGGUACCUGACUAAGAAGCCCCGGCUAACUACGUGCCAGCAGCCGCGGUAAUACGUAGGGGGCAAGCGUUAUCCGGAUUUACUGGGUGUAAAGGGAGCGUAGACGGUGAAGCAAGUCUGAAGUGAAAGGCGGGGGCUCAACCCCCGGACUGCUUUGGAAACUGUUUGACUUGAGUGCAGGAGAGGUAAGUGGAAUUCCUAGUGUAGCGGUGAAAUGCGUAGAUAUUAGGAGGAACACCAGUGGCGAAGGCGGCUUACUGGACUGUAACUGACGUUGAGGCUCGAAAGCGUGGGGAGCAAACAGGAUUAGAUACCCCGGUA